GAAAAAGUAUGCAAGAACUGCUAAUUCAUGCUUCCAUGUGUAAAAACAUGGCUUUUUCA
rnacentral:tRNA from 1 species